UACGAAGGGGGCUAGCGUUGUUCGGAAUUACUGGGCGUAAAGCGCACGUAGGCGGAUAUUUAAGUCAGGGGUGAAAUCCCGGGGCUCAACCCCGGAACUGCCUUUGAUACUGGGUAUCUCGAGUCCGAGAGAGGUGAGUGGAAUUCCGAGUGUAGAGGUGAAAUUCGUAGAUAUUCGGAGGAACACCAGUGGCGAAGGCGGCUCACUGGCUCGGUACUGACGCUGAGGUGCGAAAGCGUGGGAGCAAACAGG
rnacentral:rRNA from 1 species